GAUGAACGCUGGCGGCAUACUUAACACAUGCAAGUCGAACGGGAAGUGGUGUUUCCAGUGGCGAACGGGUGAGUAACGCGUAAGAACCUGCCCUUGGGAGGGGAACAACAACUGGAAACGGUUGCUAAUACCCCGUAGGCUGAGGAGCAAAAGGAGAAAUCCGCCCAAGGAGGGGCUCGCGUCUGAUUAGCUAGUUGGUGAGGUAAUAGCUUACCCAGGCGAUGAUCAGUAGCUGGUCCUAGAGGAUGAUCAGCCACACUGGGACUGAGACACGGCCCAGACUCCUACGGGAGGCAGCAGUGGGGAAUUUUCCGCAAUGGGCGACAGCAUGAAGGAGCAAUGCCGCGUGGAGGUGGAAGGCCUACGGGUCGUCAACUUCUUUUCUCGGAGAAGAAACAAUGACGGUAUCUGAGGAAUAAGCAUCGGCUAACUCUGUG
rnacentral:rRNA from 1 species